rnacentral:rRNA from 1 species
UCAGGCCUAACACAUGCAAGUCGAGGGGUACAGUAGCAAUACUGGAGACCGGCGCACGGGUGCGUAACGCGUAUGCAAUCUACCUUUUACAGGGGGAUAGCCCAGAGAAAUUCGGAUUAAUACCCCAUAGUAUAUAACCUUCGCAUGUUGGUUAUAUUAAAGUUCCAACGGUAAAAGAUGAGCAUGCGUCCCAUUAGCUAGAUGGUAAGGUAACGGCUUACCAUGGCUACGAUGGGUAGGGGUCCUGAGAGGGAGAUCCCCCACACUGGUACUGAGACACGGACCAGACUCCUACGGGAGGCAGCAGUGAGGAAUAUUGGACAAUGGGCGCAAGCCUGAUCCAGCCAUGCCGCGUGCAGGAAGACGGUCCUAUGGA